GGAACCCGGGAAAAAACAAGAAACCCAUUCCAUCCUCCUUUCCAGGCCUUCGCCCGCCCGAGACCCGCCGUCUCCCGGAGUUGGCCAAGUGGCUGGAAGUCCACCUACAAUGGGCAUGCCGUCCUGGAACAUCUCUCUUCUCUAUCUUGGAUUCGGUUCUAUGUCCCCCUAUGUUAUUGGGGACAGAAUUGUGCCCAGACAAGAAAAUGAUGUUUCCCAGCCUCCCCUGCAGCUGAGUGGGGACAACCAUUGAGAUGCCGUUGCAGGGCUCCGCUUUGGAGCGGGCAUUGGAGGAAUUCUUUGACCACCAAGCAGCCUCCAUACCUCCCUCCUACAUAACAGAGCCACCGAGAGGCUGUUUGCAUUCUGCCUGCUUUCUCUUUUUCCGUUGCAGUAGUUUAUUAAUUAGUGUGCAAAAAAUAAAAAGGAGGUAAUAACCUUAUUUAUGUGCUAGUCCACGUGUUCAGUGUGCUCAUUUUUUCUGCAGCCUGGCAUCGGGAACCGGAACGUUUGGCCCCAGGAGAGGGGGCCGGGACCCUGGGUGCCAGAAUCUUACAGUGCGGAGGCGACAGGCCAACGCAGUUCCUUCCUUUUCCUCCCUCCC
rnacentral:lncRNA from 1 species